rnacentral:rRNA from 1 species
GAUGAACGCUCGCUACAGGCUUAACACAUGCAAGUCGAGGGGAAACGAUGAGAGAGCUUGCUCUCUUAGGCGUCGACCGGCGCACGGGUGAGUAACGCGUAUCCAACCUACCCAUUACAGGGGGAUAACCUUGCGAAAGUAAGACUAAUACCCCAUGGCAUUUUAUGGUUGCAUCAUUAUAGGAUUAAAGAUUUAUUGGUAAUGGAUGGGGAUGCGUCUGAUUAGCUUGUUGGCGGGGUAACGGCCCACCAAGGCAACGAUCAGUAGGGGUUCUGAGAGGAAGGUCCCCCACAUUGGAACUGAGACACGGUCCAGACUCCUACGGGAGGCAGCAGUGAGGAAUAUUGGUCAAUGGGCGAGAGCUUGAACCAGCCAAGUAGCGUGCAGGAUGACGGCCCUAUGGGUUGUAAACUGCUUUUAUAGGGGAAUAAAGUGAGCUACGUGUAGUUUAUUGCAUGUACCCUAUGAAUAAGGACCGGCUAAUUCCGUG